rnacentral:rRNA from 1 species
UACGAAGGGGGCUAGCGUUGCUCGGAAUUACUGGGCGUAAAGGGUGCGUAGGCGGCUUUUUAAGUCUGGUGUGAAAUCUCCCGGCUCAACUGGGAGGGUGCGCCGGAUACUGAGGGGCUAGAGUGUGGGAGAGGAAAGUGGAAUUCCUGGUGUAGCGGUGAAAUGCGUAGAUAUCAGGAGGAACACCGGUGGUGUAAACGGCUUUCUGGACCAUAACUGACGCUGAGGCACGAAAGCGUGGGUAGCAAACAGG